GGAAUAUUCCACAAUGGGGGGAACCCUGAUGGAGCGACGCCGCGUGAGUGAAGAAGGGCUUCGGCUCGUAAAGCUCUUUUCUGAAGGACGAAUGGUCUAUUGGAUAGUCAGAGACGGUACUUUGGGAAUAAGCCACGGCUAACUACUUGCCAGCAGCCGCGGUAAUACGUAGGUGGCAAGCGUUGUCCGGAAUUAUUGGGCGUAAAGGGAGCGCAGGCGGGGCGGUAAGUCCAAAUUAAAAGUGCAGGAGUAAUGUCUGUGAUGGUUUGGAAACUAUCGGUCUGGAGAGCAGGAGAGGCAAGCGGAAUUCCCGGUGUAGCGGGGAAAUGCGUAGAUAUCGGGAGGAACACCAGUGGCGAAGGCGGCUUGCUGGACUGUGUCUGACGCUGAGGCUCGAAAGCCAGGGUAGCGAACG
rnacentral:rRNA from 1 species